UGGGGAAUUUUGCACAAUGGGGGAAACCCUGAUGCAGCGACGCCGCGUGAUUUAGAAGGCCUUCGGGUUGUAAAAAUCUUUUGUAUGGGAAGAAAAUGACAGUACCAUACGAAUAAGGACCGGCUAAUUACGUGCCAGCAGCCGCGGUAAUACGUAGGGGGCUAGCGUUAUCCGGAUUUACUGGGCGUAAAGGGUGCGUAGGUGGUCUUUCAAGUCGGUGGUUAAAGGCUACGGCUCAACCGUAGUUAGCCUCCGAAACUGGAAGACUUGAGUGCAGGAGAGGAAAGUGGAAUUCCCAGUGUAGCGGUGAAAUGCGUAGAUAUUGGGAGGAACACCAGUAGCGAAGGCGGCUUUCUGGACUGCAACUGACACUGAGGCACGAAAGCGUGGGUAGCAAACAGG
rnacentral:rRNA from 1 species